AUUCCAGGAUUGCUGUCAUGGAUACAAGUACAUGGUCGAUGAAGAUUGUGUGUCAUAGGGUUUUUACAAACUCCAGUCGGUCUGAUGCGAAUGGUCAAAUAGAGUUUGGAUAAAAGCUUGGAGUUUUCUUGAAAUCUGUCAUUUUAAGUUCAAAAGACAGCUGAGGAUUUUGCUUCACUUCUUGUAAUGAAUUUACCUUAACAAUUGUAUGAUAUGGCUUGACUGAGUAACUGUAUUAAAGGUUAAUUUGUAAACAGUCUGAUAUAACAGAAUUCUAA
rnacentral:lncRNA from 1 species